rnacentral:lncRNA from 1 species
UCGUGCGUAUCUUCUUUGUUUGGACUCCGUUUGGACUAUUUUUUGGUUCGUUGAACUUCGUUCGUCAUCUUAGACCUCAUUAUGGGCUCAAUAUAGAUCGAAUCUUGAGACGUAUUUUCUAACAAUCUCCACUUCGACUCGAUAUUCGGCCUCCAUCUAUCUUCAAGAGCCGAUGAUUCGUCUCACCCUCACACCCUAGGGCAUGUCUGCUGUCUCAUGGAUGGAUAAAUGUGGGAG